rnacentral:rRNA from 1 species
GAUGAACGCUAGCUACAGGCUUAACACAUGCAAGUCGAGGGGAAACGAUAGAGAAAGCUUGCUUCUUCUAGGCGUCGACCGGCGCACGGGUGAGUAACGCGUAUCCAACCUGCCCAUCACUUGGGGAUAACCUUGCGAAAGUAAGACUAAUACCCAAUGACGUCCAUAGAAGACAUCUGAAAGGGAUUAAAGAUUUAUCGGUGAUGGAUGGGGAUGCGUCUGAUUAGCUUGUUGGCGGGGUAACGGCCCACCAAGGCGACGAUCAGUAGGGGUUCUGAGAGGAAGGUCCCCCACAUUGGAACUGAGACACGGUCCAACUCCUACGGGAGGCAGCAGUGAGGAAUAUUGGUCAAUGGGCGAGAGCCUGAACCAGCCAAGUAGCGUGCAGGAUGACGGCCCUAUGGGUUGUAAACUGCUUUUAUAAGGGAAUAAAGUGAGCCUCGUGAGGCUUUUUGCAUGUACCUUAUGAAUAAGGACCGGCUAAUUCCGUGCCAGCAGCCGCGGUAA